GACGAACGCUGGCGGCGUGCUUAACACAUGCAAGUCGAACGGUGAAGCGCCUUCCUUUUUGGUGGGUGUGGAUGAGUGGCGAACGGGUGAGUAACACGUGAGUAACCUGCCCCCUUCUUCUGGAUAACCGCAUGAAAGUGUGGCUAAUACGGGAUAUUCUGGGUCUGUCGCAUGAUGGGUCUGGGAAAGAUAUUGUUUCGGUGGGGGAUGGGCUCGCGGCCUAUCAGCUUGUUGGUGGGGUGAUGGCCUACCAAGGCGGUGACGGGUAGCCGGCCUGAGAGGGUGGACGGUCACACUGGGACUGAGACACGGCCCAGACUCUUACGGGAGGCAGCAGUGGGGAAUAUUGCACAAUGGGCGCAAGCCUGAUGCAGCGACGCCGCGUGAGGGAUGGAGGCCUUCGGGUUGUGAACCUCUUUCGCCAGUGAAGCAGGCCUGCCUCGUUUGUGGGUGGGUUGACGGUAGCUGGAGAAGAAGCGCCGGCUAACUACGUG
rnacentral:rRNA from 1 species